CCUACGGGGGGCAGCAGUGGGGGAUAUUGCACAAUGGGGGAAAGCCUGAUGCAGCGACGCCGCGUGUGGGAAGACGGUCUUCUGGAUUGUAAACCACUGUCCCCAGGGACGAAAAUGACGGUACCUGGGGAGGAAGCUCCGGCUAACUACGUGCGAGCAGCCGCGGUAAGACGUAGGGCGCAAGCGUUGGCCGGAAUUACUGGGUGUAAGGGGAGCGUAGGCGGGGAUGCAAGUGGGGUGUCAAAACUACCGGCUCAACCGAUAAUCGCACCCAAAACUGCAGCUCUUGAGUGAAGUAGAGGCAGGCGGAAUUCCUAGUGUAGCGGUGAAAUGCGUAGAUAUUAGGAGGAACACCAGUGGCGAAGGCGGCCUGCUGGGCUUUUACUGACGCUGAGGCUCGAAAGUGUGGGGAGCAAACAGGAUUAGAUACCCUUGUAGUC
rnacentral:rRNA from 1 species